UUACCUGUGUGUCCCCUGUGGUACCUAUGGAAACCAGUUGUUGGGAAAUCCUUGUUAAG
rnacentral:sRNA from 1 species